rnacentral:rRNA from 1 species
CCUACGGGUGGCUGCAGUGGGGAAUAUUGGACAAUGGGCGAAAGCCUGAUCCAGCCAUGCCGCGUGUGUGAAGAAGGCCUUCGGGUUGUAAAGCACUUUCAGUGGGGAAGAAAGCCUUGGGGCUAAUACCCUCGAGGAAGGACAUCACCCACAGAAGAAGCACCGGCUAACUCCGUGCCAGCAGCCGCGGUAAUACGGAGGGUGCGAGCGUUAAUCGGAAUUACUGGGCGUAAAGCGCGCGUAGGCGGUCUGAUAAGCCGGUUGUGAAAGCCCCGGGCUCAACCUGGGAACGGCAUCCGGAACUGUCAGGCUAGAGUGCAGGAGAGGAAGGGAGGAUUCCCGGUGUAGCGGUGAAAUGCGUAGAGAUCGGGAGGAAUACCAGUGGCGAAGGCGGCCUUCUGGACUGACACUGACGCUGAGGUGCGAAAGCGUGGGUAGCAAACAGGAUUAGAUACCCCUGUAGUC